AUUUAACAUAAACACAUUUAUAUUUGUAUUACUAUAAAUACAGAUUUAUUCAAUAUAAAUUUUUUGUGACACAGGAGCCUUCAGAAAUGAAGAUGCAAAGACAACAGGGGAAACCAUGUAUGUUUAUGGACAGUCAUGCCAAAGUAUGAUUGGAAGACAAAAAGUUUUAAUCUUUGAAGCAAAAGAAACUUUAUGAAUGAAGCUUCCUUCACAUGGGACACACACACAGUUUAAAGCAGAUGGAAGAUCACACAGCUGGUAGGUAGCAGAGCCAAGCUUCGAACCCAGGCAGUCUAGAUCCACAGCCUGUGCUCUCAACCUCUGCCUCUACCUCAUCCUGUCUUUCCUGUGCAAACGGAAG
rnacentral:lncRNA from 1 species